ACGAACGCUGGCGGCAUGCCUAACACAUGCAAGUCGAACGAGACCUUCGGGUCUAGUGGCGCACGGGUGCGUAACGCGUGGGAAUCUGCCCUUGGGUUCGGAAUAACAGUUAGAAAUGACUGCUAAUACCGGAUGAUGACGAAAGUCCAAAGAUUUAUCGCCCAGGGAUGAGCCCGCGUAGGAUUAGCUAGUUGGUGAGGUAAAGGCUCACCAAGGCGACGAUCCUUAGCUGGUCUGAGAGGAUGAUCAGCCACACUGGGACUGAGACACGGCCCAGACUCCUACGGGAGGCAGCAGUGGGGAAUAUUGGACAAUGGGCGAAAGCCUGAUCCAGCAAUGCCGCGUGAGUGAUGAAGGUCUUAGGAUUGUAAAGCUCUUUCACCGGAGAAGAUAAUGACGGUAUCCGGAGAAGAAGCCCCGGCUAACCUCGU
rnacentral:rRNA from 1 species